ensembl:lncRNA
CGUGAGCAGAGCAGCUGAUAACACAGCCUGGGGUGGCCGCAUUGCCCCCAGGCUGCUCUGCUUUAACCUGGGGGCUGUCGUUGGGCCGGGAGAUGCCGUGCUUCAGGUGUGCCACAUCCACCACAGCAGGGACUCAGCAAAGCCAAUGCGGGGCUGAUGCAGGAGGCGGCCGGGGGCACAGCGCCAGCCGUGGUCCUGCAGCAGGGAGGUCACAGGUCUUACAGCAAGGGACAGCAGCGUCCAGCAAUAACAAAUGCUGCAACAGGAGAAACAUUCUUGGAACAACAGCCAACUGCUCUGCCAGGAACCUGCCACGCUUAGAGACCAGCUGAUAUUUCACUUGCAGAGCGUGCAGACAGCACAGUCAGAGCCCCGCGCUGCUCUGUAUGGCUCCAUGGCACCACAGGAGCCACCACCGUCCCUAUCAGUGUCACUGUCCCCAGCGGAGCCCUCUGGGGCGAACAGGAGCCACCGCGGGGCUGACAAACCAAGCCUGGCACAAAAUCAGCACAGGGACCUAAAUGAGAAACAGAAGCUCGGUAUUUUUCCCUGCCCACUUUUGAUGGACUCGUUUGGCUGCAGGGGGACCACAGGAUUUCCUCAGCCAGGUCUGCGUUCACAAACCACAGCUGUAAGACCGCGGGGAGGGCAGCCCCUAUUCCAGCUCUCUGGCUUCCCACCAGGAAACCGCGGUGUGCACAGUUCUGGUUCCUCGAGCACCCGCAGGCCUGGAUUUCUGCCAUCAGCUCCGUGUCUGCCUGGGGGGCAGCAGACGCCUGGCCCCAUCCUGAGCCCCCACGGCACCACGCGGAGCAAAGCCGGAGCGAUGCACACGGUGCAAAGCCCAGACCCCAACACGCCGGGCACAAAGCGCUCCCUGCCCGCAUGAAUGCUUUCAGCCCUGUCACAAAGCAAACAGACCUUAGCAGAAAGGUAUGCAUGGGCAUGUCUGGGCAUCCAGGUGCUUUUGCAGCCUGACGAGGCAGCUGAAUGCCUUUGAAGAGGCUGUUGCGUGGCAGCGGAGGGCACCGGAGUUGAAGCAAGGACAAACCUCCACUUCUCAGGGACCAUUUCAGCUUCGCUGCAGGUUCAGCACAGCCGCGUCCCCACCGGGGCUGCGGAGAGACUGAGAGGCAGCCCAGCCUCACCCCUCUGUGCAACCACAACACUGCUAUCCUACAGCACGACAGGGGACCUCCUGGGGACAUCAGAAGGUCCACAGCCCACAGGUGCUCGGCAGCCCUGUCCUGGGAUAACGAGGAGCAUCAAACACACAGCUGGAACCCCCUUCUGCCGAUGCAGACGGUAUGCUGUGAUUCUGAAAAGGGAAAAAUGUUGGUUAAAAUGGUAUUUUGUGUACAGUGCUCUGAGCAGAGAGCUUCACAAAACGCUGGUGCUCCCCAUUUGCCUCUGCUGGGUGGGCUCCCACAGCCACCCCGUUUGGGAAGGAGGCACAGGAUGAUGGAAAGAGAAACAGGAGAAACCCAAUGAGGUGACGCACUGAACAGGUUGCCCAAGUAGGCUGUGGAUGCCCCAUCCCUGCAGGCAUCCAAGGCCAGGCUGGAUGUGGCUCUGGGCAGCCUGGGCUGCUGGUUGGCGACCCUGCACAUAGCAGGGGGUUGGAACUGGUGAUCACUGCGGUCCUUUUCAACCCGGGCCAUUCCAUGACUCCAUGAAACUUCUCACACUUCUCAAUGAUGGCCUGCAAAUCAACACCAUUUCUCAGCAGCCUCCUCUCCAAACCACGUACAGCAGGGUGCAGUCGGUCAUUCCCCGCGGUGAAGCAGCACGGCGCUGCAGGCAGGUGCAGGAAGCCAUCCCACGCUGUCAUUUACUGCUCAUCCUGAAAUGGAAGCUCGGUGGGGACACGGCUGCUCUCGCCCUCCUGCUUUCAUUAGGUGACGCCGUGCUCUGUCACAGCCUUUGAUCUCUGCGGGCUCUGGGAGACGUGCAGGAGGGAGGGGGUGCAUCUUUGGCUUUUCCAGCUCCGGUAAUGACAUCCUUCCUCAACCCAGGGAGAAGAAAGCACUUUGAGGGUGAUUGAGCAGUGCUCCUGAGACACAGCUUUAAAUAAACUAAUUAGCAAGCUGCCUUCAUUUCUGGAUUUAGUAACCCUUCAGUGCAAAUUAAAGGUGACGAGCAACAGCUGAGCUAAGCCAUGCGUGAGCCUCGCAGUGCCGGCCACUCCCCACACCCCUGUGGACGUUGGAUGCUCUGCAGCUCCACGGUGACAGCCAUAGGAAGGGUUGGUGCCACCACCAGCCAAG